rnacentral:rRNA from 1 species
UUCGGCUGUCAUAGCGAAGGGGAAACGCCCGGCUCCAUUCCGAACCCG